CAGGUCUUGACAUCCCACUGACCGGCUUAGGGAUAGGCUUUUCCCUUCGGGGACAGUGGUGACAGGUGGUGCAUGGUUGUCGUCAGCUCGUGUCGUGAGAUGUUGGGUUAAGUCCCGCAACGAGCGCAACCCUUGAUCUUAGUUGCCAGCAUUCAGUUGGGCACUCUAAGGUGACUGCCGGUGAUAAACCGGAGGAAGGUGGGGAUGACGUCAAAUCAUCAUGCCCCUUAUGACCUGGGCUACACACGUGCUACAAUGGACGAUACAAAGGGCUGCAAACCCGCGAGGGGGAGCCAAUCCCAUAAAAUCGUUCUCAGUUCGGAUUGUAGGCUGCAACUCGCCUACAUGAAGCCGGAAUCGCUAGUAAUCGUGGAUCAGCAUGCCACGGUGAAUACGUUCCC
rnacentral:rRNA from 1 species